rfam:Pristionchus pacificus strain PS312 contig56, whole genome shotgun sequence.
UCUUCAUUUUACACACUCUCUCACCGGUCAGAGAGGCGAGAGAGUGGGGGAAAUGAAGAGU